rnacentral:tRNA from 1 species
GCCAAAAUGGCCGAGUGGUCUCAAGGCGUUGGUUUUAAGCUUCACGCUUCUAAUCACCAAUAUCGAAAGAUUCCAGGGUUCGAAUCCCUGUUUUGGCA